GACGAACGCUGGCGGCGUGCCUAAUACAUGCAAGUCGAACGCAGUGGGGACGGGUGAGUAACACGUGGGUAACCUCCCAUCAGAGGGGAUAACACUUGGAAACAGGUGCUAAACCGAUACUGAUGUAUGGACCCUCGGUGCAUUAGCUAGUUGGUGAGGUAACGGCUCACCAAGGCCACGAUGCAUAGCCGACCGGAGAGGGUGAUCGGCCACACUGGGACUGAGACACGGCCCAGACUCCUACGGGAGGCAGCAGUAGGGAAUCUUCGGCAAUGGACGAAAGUCUGACCGAGCAACGCCGCGGGAGUGAAGAAGGUUUUCGGAGCGUAAAAAUCUGUUGUGAGAGAAGAGGGAGCUAAAGAGAAAGCCACGGCUAACUACGUGCCAGCAGAAGCGGUAAUAG
rnacentral:rRNA from 1 species